UUUUAUCACUUUUCUGACCUGCUGGGAGAAUUUUUUUAAACAAGUUAAAAACUGAAGAGUUCAGUAUUUUUGGAUUUUUUCAUUUCCAAUUUGGGGAAAAAAAAAGCCAACUGUUUUUCUAUUCAAUCUCCUUUAUUCUGUGUCCAAAAGCGGAUGUGAUGGUAAGGAAAAUGAGUAGCUUGAGUGUCAUGAUCUCAUUAAAGAAAAAUAGAGGGGUUUUGGGGGGUUUUUUGGGUUUGUUUUUUUUUUUUUUUUUGAGAGGGCAAAGUCAUUAAAACCAUGUUUUGUUAAAAAUACUAGAAGAAUAAAUUGGAACAGGUAUACUUACGCGAUUUGUCAUAUGACAUCUACAUACAGUGGGUGACCUUUAAAAUUUAAGCUGCAUACUUGAAUACAAAGUCUCCCAUUAUAAAAGAGAAAAUGUGAUAGGAGCUGGCAGAGCUACUGUGCUGGUGGGAUGUUUAAUGUUCAUCUUCUGCAAGCACUGCUCAGCAGAUUUGAUCCAUGGUACUAACAAAAGCAGUGCUUUCCCCUUCAAAUGUAUCAUUCAAAUUAACACUGCUGCUUCCCUGCUGCCUCCUGCAUGUUACACUAUAGGGACUCCUUGACUAGGCACCCUGACUCAUGGCCCCUUGCACUGAGUUACCACCUACCCUGCCCUCAGCAGCUCCACGCAGCAGAAUUUUGGCAUGGUUGAGCUCAGCUCUGGGGUAAGGUUAAGAGCUGCUGAACAGCACAUCCUCUUCCCAUCCAGCCCCUCCUGCAUGGGUCUCCUCCUUGCACCAGGUCAUGCAGCAUGUCUUCCGCUGCUGUGAUGGGGGAAACUACACCCACUGCCAGGUGAUUGAAAAGUAAGUUCGAUCUUCACAGUGUAGCUGACAACUUUGCAGUCCACGCUUUCAGUCAUGCAUUGAAUUUUACUGAAUUGUUUUGUAUGGAGCCAAAACCAACAAAUACCUCUUGCAGCAGAGCUGCACGAAGCUACCAGCUCAUCUGAGGAGCAUCUUUGUUGAGCAUCUGCAACAUCUGGAUGACAGCCUUUGCUCAGCACCUUCUGGACAUGGCAGAGAAAGGCUGUUUUGGAGAGGAGCUGGUUCGAGCUCAGAGAGUCAACAGUGGUUCUUCAUCUGCCUCUUCCCACCAGCAGCUCAGGGCAGGAGG